rnacentral:rRNA from 1 species
CCUACGGGAGGCUGCAGUGGGGAAUAUUGCACAAUGGGGGACACCCUGAUGCAGCGACGUCGCGUGAGUGAAGAAGUAAGUAGUUAUGGAAAGCUUCAUGAGUAGGGGAGAAAAUGACGGUACGUGAGUAAGAUGCCCCGGAUCACUCCGUGCCAGCAGCGCCGGUAAUACGUAGGGGGCAAGCGUUAUCCGGAUUUACUGGGUGGAAAGGGAGCGUAGACGGCUGUGCAAGUCUGGAGUGAAAGGCGGGGGCUCAACCCCCGGAUUGCUCUGGAUACUGUACGGCUGGAGUGCAGGAGAGGUAAGUGGAAUUCGUAGUGUAGCGGUGAAAUGCGUAGAUAUUAGGAGGAACACCAGUGGCGAAGGCGGCUUACUGGACUGUAACUGACGUUGAUGCUCGAAAGCGUGGGUAGCAAACAGGAUUAGAUACCCCAGUAGUC